GACGAACACUGGCGGCGUGCUUAACACAUGCAAGUCGAACGGAAAGGCCCUGCCUUUGUGGGGUGCUCGAGUGGCGAACGGGUGUGUAACACGUGAGUAACCUGCCCUUGACCUUGGGAUAACUUCAGGAAACUGGGGCGCAUACUGGAUAGGAGCUCCUGCUGCAUGGGGGGGGUUGGAAAGUUUCGGCGGUUGGGGAUGGACUCGCGGUUUCUCAGCUUGUUGGUGGGGUAGUGGCUUACCAAGGCUUUGACGGGUAGCCGGCCUGAGGGGGUGAACGGCCACAUUGGGACUGAGGUACGGCCCAGACUCCUACGGGAGGCAGCAGUGGGGAAUAUUGCACAAUGGGCGGAAGCCUGAUGCAGCAACGGCGCGUGCGGGAUGACGGCCUUCGGGUUGUAAACCGCUUUCGCCUGUGACGAAGCGUGAGUGACGGUAAUGGGUAAAGAAGCACCGGCUAACUACGUG
rnacentral:rRNA from 1 species